GGAAUUUAAGAACCGGUCGAUCUUAAUUUUUAACUAAAAAAAUUAAAAACCGGUUCUUAAAUAAUAGUUUUAAGAACCGGUUCUUAACUUUUUUUAGUUAAAAGUUAAGAGACGGAUUCUUAUAUUCU
rfam:Brassica oleracea var. oleracea cultivar TO1000 chromosome C9, whole genome shotgun sequence